AUUUAUAUAGUUUAUAAAAACAUUUUAUUUUCAAUAAAAAAAUAUAUUUAAUAUUAUAAAUA
rnacentral:tRNA from 1 species